GGUCACGUUAAUAACACGGCACCGCUCAACCUAUAUUUUUCGUUAAUUAUUGUCGCAGUUUGAAAGUGUAAAUCAACAUGAAAAACGAAAUGGUCAAAGUUUCUACCAACGCCAUAUUUCACAGAAACGACUAGAAUAUCCGCUUGUAUUCCAUGCAUAAUAUGCAUAAUAUAGAAUGUUCGCCAUCAAUGAAAAAACCCAAUUUCGGAGCGCCUAAGAUGUGGUCAAAAUCCUUUCCGGUUAGGAGGAGCUUUUGGCGGCCAUGUACAGCAAAAACAUAAUAUAUGAAAUGCGGAUAAACCUUACAAUUUAUUAAUCUAAAUAAAGAAGUAAGAUAUUUUGCUCUAUGACGAGAC